UACAGAGGGGGCAAGCGUUAUUCGGAAUUAUUGGGCGUAAAGGGCGCGUAGGCGGCGCAACAAGUCACUUGUGAAAUCUCCGGGCUUAACCCGGAGCGGCCAAGUGAUACUGUCGUGCUAGAGUGCGGAAGGGGCUACUGGAAUUCUCGGUGUAGCGGUGAAAUGCGUAGAUAUCGAGAGGAACACCUGCGGCGAAGGCGGGUAGCUGGGCCGACACUGACGCUGAUGCGCGAAAGCCAGGGGAGCGAACGGG
rnacentral:rRNA from 1 species